AAAACACACACAUACACUGCAUUCACCAACACAACACACACUGCAUACACUAACACAACACACACUGCAUACAAUAACACACAUACACUGCAUUCACUAACACACACACACACACACACACACUGCAUACACUAACACACACACUGCAUACAAUAACACACACAUACACUGCAUUCACUAACACAACACACACUGCAUACACUAACACAACACACACUGCACACAAUAACACACACAUACACUGCAUUCACUAACACAACACACACUGCAUACACUAACACACACACUGCAUACAAUAACACAACACACACACUGCAUACAAUAAC